rnacentral:rRNA from 1 species
CACGUAGGGCGCGAGCGUUGUCCGGAAUUAUUGGGCGUAAAGAGCUCGUAGGCGGCCUGUUGCGUCCGCUGUGAAAGCCCGGGGCUUAACCCCGGGUCGGCAGUGGAUACGGGCAGGCUAGAGGUAGGUAGGGGAGAAUGGAAUUCCCGGUGUAGCGGUGAAAUGCGCAGAUAUCGGGAGGAACACCGGUGGCGAAGGCGGCGCUCUGGAACAUUUCUGACGCUGAGGCUCGAAAGCGUGGGGAGCAAACAGG